rnacentral:piRNA from 1 species
UCCUUUCUGAUGUAAAUUGCCCUUAGCCCU